rnacentral:rRNA from 1 species
UACGUAGGGGGCUAGCGUUGUCCGGAAUCACUGGGCGUAAAGCGCACGUAGGCGGAUCUUUAAGUCAGGGGUGAAAUCCUGGAGCUCAACUCCAGAACUGCCUUUGAUACUGGGGAUCUCGAGUCCGGAAGAGGUGAGUGGAACUCCGAGUGUAGAGGUGAAAUUCGUAGAUAUUCGGAAGAACACCAGUGGCGAAGGCGGCUCACUGGUCCGGUACUGACGCUGAGGUGCGAAAGCGUGGGGAGCAAACAGG